AUGCUAGAUGCACAGGGGAAUUUAAAUAAGAACUUGGAGCUGAGCUACUUCUUGCUUAUCAUUCACCCCAGCUGCCUCCCCUGUCCCACAAGGGGGCUGGCCAGUGUUCCAGAGUCAGCCUCCCACAGUAUUUUAAAUAAGACUUUAUUUUGUCUCUUCCGCGUUAGGGUUUCUGGUUGCCAGAUUUCUGAGCUAAUUAAAAGGAGCAGAGACAGGUCUGGAAGAAGAGCUGUCCAUGAUGUAAAGGGAGAGAGAAGGAACAUUGGAACAUGGCAAAUAAAGUCAGACACAAAGAGACUAGAGAGUUUCAAUAGGAAGUCAGCAGUUUUCACUGCAACCAAGAAUAAGAGAGAGGUUUAAUUAUGUAUACCUACUGGCAAUUAUUUGGUCCUUAGUGAUUCUGGUUAGAAUAGUUUGCAGUAAAUGGCACAUGUAAGACUGUAGUGGAUUCAGGAGUAAGCCUGCUUCUCUUCUGUGAAUGAGAGGGAGAUUAGAUGAAAGCUAGAGGAAGAUUUAAUUUCAAACCAGGUUAUAUGGCAUAUUCAUAGACCAAAAGGAGAAGGCAUCAGUUAAGAGUAACAAACUGAAUGUGAUAAGAGAAGGACUAUAUGGUAGGAAAAGGUCCGAGGAGAGACAGAACUAAAGAUUUUAGGUGAAGGAAAUGCUUAAACAGAAAUAAGGAGACCUCAUUCUAGAAGACUGAAAGGAAGUGAAUUUAAGUUAGUAGAAGAGGGGAGUGGGAAUAUACAGAAAAACAUAUCUUACAGGCUUAUUGCUCUUGUUGAUUCAGCAGAUGAGAUGCUCUGCUGAGACAGCCUGGGGUCGAGAAGAGAAUGAUUAAUGUUUGGAAAAAUUGUUUUGGAAAUGGGAGAGAGAACUGAGUUCAGAUAAAAAAAAUGUUGAGACCCCUUGAUUUUGCAGAUUGAGGAUUUGUAGCAGUGUAUUACUUAUUUUUCCUAGUAGUGCUUGGCUACCUGAAUGUAGAAAUAGAAAAUAUUUAUUUGUAGAAUUGACCUCUGUUUGAGGUUUUAUAGGGCAGAUGAGGUCCUCAAGACAGGGAUAUAAAGAAUGCUUAGCUUUCAUGCUACAUGUCCAAUAUAAAUUAGAGAUUAGGGCUCUCUGUGUAUUGUAAUCAAUCCAGAACCCAGGCUGAUGGAGGAUCCAUAUCCUUAUCUUCAUUAUAUACAUGAUCACUCUAGCAGGAGGAAAGGGUUUUGGCAGGCCUUAUACUGCUUAUUAAACCUUCUAACCAGAAGUGAUGCACAUUAAAGCUGUUCAGAUUUUGUUGAAAAAAUAAUAUCACCUGAUCACUCCUAACUUCAAAGUAGGCAGGGAACAAUACUAUCUUAUGCUCAAAACGAGGGACAGAAUAUUUGUAUUACAAUGACUGGAACUUCUGUGAUGAUGGACUUUACCAUUCAGGUUCUUCUUCAGGCCUAGCCUAAUUUACCUACUAGACACUCCAACUUUGGUUCUUAGCCAGGUAUUCCUUAAUUGUUUCCUUGAGGACUCACUCUCUCUUCUCUUUUCUUCAUGUGAUUUCCAGAUUAAUGAUUUAUGUCUUGACCUCAUUGCUUUCUCUAGUCCAAUAAUGUAAAAUGUAUCCAAAAUAUUUCCACUUCAUGUGUAGCUUUUUAUACUUGCAGAGUAUUCAAAACAAUAGUCAGAAAGUAAUGUCUACUUAUAUUUCUCUGUUUUGUUAAUUUUUUUUCCUUUCGGUAGAUUGUCUCAACCUCAAAAACCUAUCUAGUUCCUCUUUCCAUUGAGAUCAGUUGUUUUUUUGUUUUUUUUUUUUGCUUUAUUAUUUGUGGAUGUACACAUAGCAAGUGUUCGAAAAACACUGGCUGGUGAUUUUAUUUUUUUAUUUUUUUCUAUUUACAUAAUUCUUUUUUUUUUCCACUGUAAACAUGGUGACCCAGUUACACAUACAUGUAUACAUUCUUUUUUCUCCCAUUAUACUUGUCUAUCGUAAGUAACUAGACAUAAUUCCCACUGCUACACAGCAGGAUCUCAUUGCUAAUCCAUUCCAAAGGCAAUAGUUUUCAUACAUUAACCCCAACCUUCCAAUCCAUCCCACUCCCUCCCCCUCCCCCUUGGCAACCACAGGUCUAUUCUCCAAGUCCAUAAUUUUCUUUUCUGUGGAAAGGUUCAUUUGUGCUGUAUAUUAGAUACCAGAUACAAGUGGUAUUUGUCUUUCUAUUUCAACUUCACUCAGUAUGAGAGUCUAGUUUCAUCCAGGUUGCUGUCAAUGGCAUUAUUUUGUUCUUUGUAUGGCUGAGUAGAUUUUAAUAUUUUUUUCACUUCUGUUUUAUUUUAGUCCUUAAAGAAUUAUGCUGGAAUCACUUUUUGAUGAAACAUUUUUUCUCCUGUACAAGGCCAGAGUUAAACCUGUAUUCUAUUAUUAGUUUUUAGUUUAACUUUUAUUGAUAAAAUUAGAUAUGAAAAGGUUAAUAAAUUACAUGUAUACACCUAUAUUGCUAUCAUCCAAAUAAAAAACUAGAGUUCCUAUUGUAGCACAGUGGGUUAAAAAUACAACUGCAGUGGCUUGGUUACUGUGGAGGCACCAAGUUUGAUCCCCCACCUGGUGCAUUGGGUUAAAAGAUUUGGCCUUAGCAUAAAUACAGCAUAGGUUGCAACCGUGCAGCUGUGGCUUGGAUUCAAUCGCUGCCCCGGGAACAUCCAUAUGCCACAGGUAUGGCCGUGAAAAAAAAAUUUAACAGUAUUCAUGCUUGAGAGGUUCUGAUCUUAAGUAGUUCAUAAGGUUAAAAAAAAAAUCAAUGCCCAGACCCUCACAAAACUUAAAACUAAAUCAUUAUCAAGAUGAAGUAGGAAAAUGAUAAUUUUGGAACAAUUUCUAUUUUUCCAUGUAUGUAUUUUUGUUUAAAUAUGUUUUUUUUAUUUUGUUUUUGUUAUUUCCCCAAUACAAAUUUUUUUCUAUUGUACAACAUGGUGACCAGUUAAACAUACACGUGUACAUUCUUUUUUCUCACAUUAUCAUGCUCCAUCAUAAGUGACUAGAUACAGUUCCCAGUGCUACACAGCAGGAUCUCAUUGCUAAUCCAUUCCAAAGGCAAUAGUUUUCAUACAUUAACCCCAACCUUCCAAUCCAUCCCACUCCCUCCCCCUCCCCCUUGGCAACCACAGGUCUAUUCUCCAAGUCCAUAAUUUUCUUUUCUGUGGAAAGGUUCAUUUGUGCUGUAUAUUAGAUACCAGAUACAAGUGGUAUUUGUCUUUCUAUUUCAACUUCACUCAGUAUGAGAGUCUAGUUUCAUCCAGGUUGCUGUCAAUGGCAUUAUUUUGUUCUUUGUAUGGCUGAGUAGAUUUUAAUAUUUUUUUCACUUCUGUUUUAUUUUAGUCCUUAAAGAAUUAUGCUGGAAUCACUUUUUGAUGAAACAUUUUUUCUCCUGUACAAGGCCAGAGUUAAACCUGUAUUCUAUUAUUAGUUUUUAGUUUAACUUUUAUUGAUAAAAUUAGAUAUGAAAAGGUUAAUAAAUUACAUGUAUACACCUAUAUUGCUAUCAUCCAAAUAAAAAACUAGAGUUCCUAUUGUAGCACAGUGGGUUAAAAAUACAACUGCAGUGGCUUGGUUACUGUGGAGGCACCAAGUUUGAUCCCCCACCUGGUGCAUUGGGUUAAAAGAUUUGGCCUUAGCAUAAAUACAGCAUAGGUUGCAACCGUGCAGCUGUGGCUUGGAUUCAAUCGCUGCCCCGGGAACAUCCAUAUGCCACAGGUAUGGCCGUGAAAAAAAAAUUUAACAGUAUUCAUGCUUGAGAGGUUCUGAUCUUAAGUAGUUCAUAAGGUUAAAAAAAAAAUCAAUGCCCAGACCCUCACAAAACUUACCCACCAACAGUGCAGGAGGGUUCCCUUUUCUCCACACCCCCUCCAGCACUUGUUAUUUGUGGACUUAUUAAUGAUGGCCAUUCUGACUGGUGUGAGGUGGUAUCUGGUGGUAGUUUUGAUUUGCAUUUCUCUAAUAAUCAGGGAUGUUGAGCAUUUCUUCAUGUGCUUGCUGGCCAUCUGUAUAUCUUCCUUGGAGAAAUGUCUUUUCAGAUCUUUCACCCAUUUUUCCAUUGGGUUGUUGGCUUUUUUGCUGUUGAGUUGUAUAAGUUGCUUUUUUAGCAUUGCAGUUUCAUAGAUGCUGGGAGAAAAGAAUAUGUUAGGUUUGCAGUAGGUUGUUCUUGGGCAUGGUUUAUUUCACAGACCAGUAGCCACCUUUUUUUUUUUUUUUUCCUUAGCAGGU
ensembl:lncRNA